UCACUUUGGCAGUGCAUGUAAGAAAACUAGAACCAUACAGAGAAUAUUAGCAGUCCCCCCCAUGCAAGGAUGACACACAAAUUUGUGACAUCGUCCCUCUUUUU
ensembl:snRNA U6 U6 spliceosomal RNA